UAUGUAGGUGGCAAGCGUUGUCCGGAUUUAUUGGGUUUAAAGGGUGCGUAGGCGGCUUUGUAAGUCAGUGGUGAAAUACGGUAGCUCAACUAUCGAGGUGCCAUUGAUACUGCGGAGCUUGAGUACAGAUGAGGUAGGCGGAAUUGACGGUGUAGCGGUGAAAUGCUUAGAUAUCGUCAAGAACACCUAUAGCGAAGGCAGCUUACUAGGCUGUAACUGACGCUGAGGCACGAAAGUGUGGGGAUCAAACAGG
rnacentral:rRNA from 1 species